AGUCAAUACAUCAUCAUCAUCAUCAUCAUCUCCCCGUUUCUGCUGUGUAUCACAGGUUCUUUCUCUGCUCCUGUGUUAAUAGUUAAUGGUUUUGUUGGAGGAUCGGCUGUCUUCCCAUGCGAUUUUGAGGCUCAGGUUAAAACUGACAUUACAACGCACUGGAGAGACAGGAAGGAAAAUAAUGUGUAUGAUAUAAUUGGGGGCAGUGGAACAGAUAAAAGUCAAGCUCAGCAGUAUAACAACAGAGUUGAAGAGAUAGACCACUGCUCCAUCAAACUCAACAACCUCAGCAAAACUGAUGAAGGAAAAUACACCGGUUACAUUGCACACCCAAUAAACAGGGCAAUAUACAUAAAUCUUAGUGUCGCAGAUAAACCAGAGGGGGGAGAGAGCCACGAUGAAGGGAGCGUCAGUGAUUCUGCAGACCCAUCAAACACAGGUGUGUGAAAUCCCCAUAAUGACAAUGUGAAAAAAGAGUUUUUGAAAUUGUUGCAAAUUUAUUUAAAAAAAAGCCUAAAAUCACAUGUACAUAAGUAUUCAUACAUUAUUGCUCAAUACAUUAUUGAUGCACCUUUGGCAGCAAUUACAGCCUCAAGUCUUUUUGAAUAUCAUGCCACAAGCUUGGCACACCUGUCUUUGACAAACUUACCUGUCAUUUCUGAGCUUUGACAUUAUUCCGAUGGCAGUACUAGGAAAUUAUGUUUAUGGUCACAUGGCCAAACUACCCAAUCUUGUUAGACCUGCCCUGAACUCAUUUAGACAUCUUAAAUUUUCAUUAUAUAUGAACAUGUGCUUUAUAAUAAAGUUACUUUUUAGUACUACAGAAAUGUAUUCAAGCAAAAAUUGUGGUCACAAUUGUGAACGGUGGGAUUAAAUGGUGGGAUUAAGGGGCCGAUCACAACAAACCCGUUUUUUGCGUUAAGAGCCCCCCACCACUUAAAUAAAUGACAAAAAAAAAACCAACAGAAAUGACGUUAGGUGAUUUUCUAGGUGAGUUGACUUUUAUCAAUUAAGGGGCUCUCUUGGAAAAAGAGGCGCUCAAAAAUGCUUUUCUUACUUGUCUGUCAAAAUUGAGUUUUUCCUUAAA